rnacentral:tRNA from 1 species
GCCCGAGUGAUGAAAUUGGUAUACGUAGGGGAUUCAAAAUCCCCCGGUCGCAAGGCCGUGCGAGUUCGAGUCUCGCCUCGGGCACAA